rnacentral:rRNA from 1 species
AAAACUUUCAACAACGGAUCUCUUGGUUCUGGCAUCGAUGAAGAACGCAGCGAAAUGCGAUAAGUAAUGUGAAUUGCAGAAUUUAGUGAAUCAUCGAAUCUUUGAACGCACAUUGCGCCCGUUAGUAUUCUAGCGGGCAUGCCUGUUCGAGCGUCAUUU